CUUUGUCUUUGUUCUUUGUCUUCAUAUAUUGUCUAGCGUGACGUCAGUGAAGUGUAAAAAACGUUUGUCCCGUGUUAGUGAGAGUGUGUGACGUUGAGAGAAGGUUUAUGGCUAUACAUGUAUAUUGGAUGGAGUUUGGUUGGGGCUUGUUUUAUUUUUUCUAAGAUUAGGAGGACAGAUCAAUGGAUGGCGAGGAAUACCACGAAAAACAAGGCCGUGAUAAUACCACGCAGGAGGCCGUACAUCUUCAAGGGAUUUCACCCAAUCAAAAGUCUGUCAUUUAGAGGUCAAGGAGCUACCUGAAGAACAUGAAAAGACUCGUCUCAUGAAUUGAAGAGGACAUCUUUCUCCACAGGGACUAGUCGGAUCCACAACAUCAGUUUUAUAAGAGACACGAACCACUUUAAGGUGUGGAUCCGGCCAUUAUCGCAUUAAUUCCAAGUUUACCAACUUAGGCAGCUACCUUAGUCCUACAAAUAAAGGGUAUUUGAACAAUGACGUUGAAUGAGGUCACGAUGGAAUAACCCCCAACCAUUAAUCAGAAGAAUUUUACAUUUAGAAACACCCUUAUUGGUAGAUUCUGAUACGCGUCAAGUAUCUACCAAAGGCACAGAACCAUCAUCAGUUUUAAGUGAAAUGUUAUUUCAAUUUCUCUAUAUCAAACGAUCUCUUACAAUAACUGCCUCUGUGGUAUAACAUUGUAAAGGAAACGUAUCCAAGAUAAUGAAGGGAUAUCAAGUGGAUAUUUAAGUUUGAAGCUCUGUGACACGAUUUUAUUCCUGAUGAUUUGACACAGCCUUACAAUCCAAGAUUGUUUUCUGAGGAAUGGAGAGAUGGAGUCAUACAUAAUAUCCACAUAUACAGCCUUACUAUCAACCAAUUAACACGGUGGAUUUUUGCAUUGUAACAUUGGAUUGCACAAAGACAGUUCAUCAGUAACUAUGGAAAUCAACAUGUUUUUAAAGGAGUCAGGUGCGAGAUAAAUGCAUGUGUACUGAUGCAUUCCGUAUUCAGUGUAUUAAAUGUGUAAACCGUAUACUACUUGGUAUGUUACUGGUAAUGACUUGACUCUACACCAAAGAAGAUGUAGAAUACGCUCUGUAUAAGGAAAAAGUCGAGCUGCCUACAGUAAUCAAAGGGAGAUAACCACAAUUGAUAACAUGAACUGUUUUACAGAUUCUUUUAUAACACGUAAUUUCAUCAAGUAAAAAACAUAUUUAUUAAUGACUAUAUGCGUUUGAGAAAACAAUUUAGGGAAAACAAUAACACAUAUCUUACAAUGAAAACAAGCAUGAUAUAAGAACAACACAAUGGAUCUGAAUCUGCUUUGUUUAUAUCAUGCUAUGUGGUAUAUACUAUAAUUGAUACUUUUCACUUACAAUAUAUAGUAUAAUUAUCACUGUACUGGACUUUUGUGUAUGAACGAGUUUCCAUUAAUGACCAAUAAAUCACAGUACGACCAGAUGAUGCU